ACUUGUUUCAUCAAUUCAACAAACCAGGGAAAAACAUAAAAAAGAUUUUAUCCACAUCAAGAUAGAAAUUUAGCUUGUAGCAUUUAAUAAUACUAACAUUGUUAUUGAUCCUAAAAAUGAAAAAUGGAAAAGUGGCAACCUUUUUACCCGGUUUAAUUUUGUAUUAUAAUGAUUUCGUGAAUUUCUUAGCUUAUCCACGCAUGUCUUCUUAAUUCCUAUACCAGAUAUUUCAAAUUCUCAUAAUAUAACACCCGAUCUGGUAAUAUUCAACCAUACGAGAUAUUUUUUCUGAAAAAAAAAUCCAAAAAAUAUUUAAGCAAAAAAUUUAGCAGAACUGUUACGAUCUGAGCUGAUAAUGCUGGGUUCGAGGCCAGCACCUCCAGAAAUAAGGGGGAAGAAGAAGAGCAGAGAAGAAAGGGAACUUUGCGAUUUUCAUUCAUUUAUGAUUCUGGCUUAUUUACAUACUUAUUUAUACUAUCCUCUACUAACAGAAUUCUUAUCUUUUUGUGCAAAAGGAAUAUUACAGAAUCAAAUCCGUUAAGCUUGUCCCCUGCUCUAGCAACAGCAUCACACGAUAAGGAUUGCUACUCAAUUCCCUUCCUGCCCUCAAGCAUAGUCUCGAAGGUGAAGAACAGCUUCCACAGGAAAGUGCAAAUGUAACCAAGGGCUCUGACCAUUCCAAGCCAAAUAUGCUUCGCAAUUUCAUCUCGUCAUGUUUUGCAGCUUUUGGGCAGGUCUGUCGCAGGAAGCAAAGAUGAAAAUCAAGAGAUGAAUUGUAAUCUACAAAGCAUGACAAGGACUUCUGAAAAAUAGAAAAACUUUUUACACCUCUGAAAGCAUAGGCAGGAGAGUAGAUUAUGCACUUACAAACAUCAGGUGAUAAGGAAGACUCAAGAUGAAGUGCUCUAUUGUAAUUGCAUUGAGCUGCAGGCCCCCCACUUCUAUUGUUGCCUGCACAAGCAUUGCCAAGUUUUAGUUAACUUGAAUGUUUAUCUAAAGUUUCAUCUUGACAGGACACUAAAUAUUUAAUAGUGUGUGUAUGUGCAUGCGUGUGUGCAUACACUUCAGAAUAAUGAUGGGAUGUUUUUUAUUCUU